rnacentral:ncRNA from 1 species
AUAAAUGCUGUGAUUAGGAAAAGUAAGUAUUAGGAUUCAUACAGAGAGAAGCUCAUUUGGUGAGAGAGUUUUAUGUAAGAAUAAUACUGAAGUGCCCCUAUGAGCUUAAUACCGAAAUUAACAUUAAAUAAAAAUGUUGAAGUAGGAUAUUACGGAUUCCCCCGUUAUAGGGAUAGAGCAUGGUAGUGCUUAAAAAGAGAUGAGUAUUAAUUACUUAAUCAGAGUGGAACCGCGGAAUAUUACUUCUGCCUCUGUU